rnacentral:lncRNA from 1 species
CAGAUAGCAACUCGGGAAAAACCCAUUUUUCACCCCAAAAUUCUAAUUUUAACUUCCCUAUGCCCAAAUUUGAUCCCAAAGUUUGUCUAAACAUUUAUAUACAUCAAAAGAGACUCAAAAUCAUAUAAAACUUGACCCAAAACAUUAUUUUAAAAAAUCAUCAAAUAAUCAAUUUUAACCCUAAAUCCCAAAUUCUCAAAACUAAAACUUACAACAUAUUAAAUUCAAUUUUCAGAAUCAAUGACUUAAGAUUAUUGAAUGUUAGUCCCACCUUUAUCUUGGAUUGAUCGACGAAGGACUCUACCGCUUUCUCUUCUUUAAAAGGAUAUUAAACCGAAGAGGGAUUAUGGUCUUAAGAACACAUUUAAUUCCGAAGGGACAGAAAGGAGUAGAAAAAGAAAAAAGACUCGUCAACACAAGUCAAAAGAGGGAGAAGAGAAGAAAAGCACACGAAGCAUCAACUGUGAAUUUCGGUGUGUAGAAUGCACUGUGUGAGUUCUCUAUUUAUAGAGAUAGUUUACAACUAAUAAGUGAGAAACUUUUGAAACAACUAAUGCACCUAUUAGAUCUAGUAAUUAAAUAUAUCAAUUGAGUACCAAAAUAUAUUAUAUUAAGUACAAAAAUAUAUUAUUCAGUACAGAAAUAUAUUAGAUUGCCUACCAAAAUCUCAAUAUUCUAUUCUAAUAUAUAUAUAAAAUAUUUAUAUAACAAAUAACAAUUAUAUCUCUAUAACAAAUAUAUUUCUAUAACAUAUAUAUAUUUCUACACCAAAUAAGAAAUAUAUUUCUACACCAUAUAACAUAUAUUUCUGCACAAAAUAACAUAUAUUUCUACAACAAAUAACAUAUAUAUAUUUCUACAACAAAUCAUACAUAUUUCUACAACAAAUCAUAUAUAUUUCUACAACAAAUAACAUAAUAUUUCUUCACCAAAUAACAUAUAUUUCUACACAAAAUAACAUAUAUUUUUACAACAAAUCAUAUAUAUAUUUCUACAAAAAAUCAUAUAUAUUUCUACUACGAAUAACAUAUAACUUAACAAAAUAUCACCCAUCUAAUUUCCAAAACAGCCCCCUCAACUUUAAUCUUAUUUUAUUUUCAAAUCAUAUUCCAUUAAAUAAUAGAAUAAGCCACUUAAUAAAUCACAUAAUCAUAUAAAUAUAUUCUAAACUUAUUAAAAUAAUCAAAUAAUUAAAGAGGGCGUUACAACUCUCCCCCCUUAAAAGAAUUUCGUCCUCGAAAUUCAAAGCACACAAGAAUAAAUUCAAUUAUUGCAUAACCAUAAUAAACCAUAUAUAGUUAAAUAGAACCUUUCAACAAAACACGCAAACUACAUCAAAGUUAGUCAAUCAAACAUGAUCACAUAAUAAACAUAACUAUUAAUCAGAAACACAACAACAACCAAUCAAACAACAUAAAGACAGUAAUACAACUAUUACUUGACACAACUCGACUCAACUACUUGGUCGGACGGACCGACUUGCUCUGAUACCAAUUGUAACAUCCGGUUUUCCCAACAUAAAAAUUUCAUAAAAAUAAUCAGAGUAUUCACAUAAACAGAAUGUCACAUUCUUUUCUUAAAAUCAUAAACUGAAUGAAUAACUAUUUAUCCUUUAAAAUUCAAUAACAAAACAGUCUUUGGCACGAAGGCCUCUUCAUAAAUGUCUCAUAAAAAUCCAAGCUAAAAAUAUAGUCAUAAAUCUUCAAAAGCAUUACGUAAGGAAGAGAAAAGCAAUAACAAAGUUCCCAUCCCGUUACGUAUCAGAGCACCUAAGACACACGAGAGAGUAACUUCACACGACAUCGACUAUUCUUGGUUACUUGCAAGUUACUCAUACGAACAUUUUCAAGCAGAAGGGGUGAGAUUUCACAAAACAAUAAUAUCAAGCAUAUAAUUCAUUAAUUAUAUUUAACAACAUAAAUAAUUUCCUCUAUUAAUAAUAAUAAUCCUUCAUGUAAUAAUUCUUAAUAACUCAACCAACUUCUAAUUAUCAAUUCAUGAAUAAAAGACAACUUAUCAACUUAACAUAACCAUCAUCAAGUACAUUUAACAACUCAUAGAUAACAUCAUGUAAUCAUCAUCACUAAUAACUUAAACAACACAAUAUAAUCAUCAUCUUAUAAUAAUAUAUCAACAACUAUUCAUCAUCUUAUAAUAACAACAUAUUCAUCAUCUUAUAAAAAUAUACAACAACAUAUUCAUCAUCUUAUAAAAAUAUAACAACAACAUAACGUAAUAUUCACUUAAUAAUAAUAAUCAUAUCUAAUACAACAUAAUCAUCACUUAAUAAUAAUAAUUAUAUACAAUACAACAUAAACAUUAUCUUAAUAAUAACAUCACAUAAUAAUCAGUAUCAUAAACAACAUCAUAACAAAAUAACAAUAUCAUAAUCAAUAUCAUAGAUAACAUAGCAACAUCUUAGUCAACAUCAUAUAAUUCACAUCAUAUAAUCUUCAUAGGUACUUCUUUAACAACACAUGGGUAGAAGACAACUCAACAACUCAUAGAUGAUAAUUCAUCAACAACUUAACAACUCAUGGAUGAUAAUUCAUCAACAACGACUUUGACUCGACAAAUUCAACUCCAACUCGACUAUGCAACUUAGACCUCUUAUAUGCAUAUGGUAUCAAUUCAGGGCAUGAGCCCCCAACAUCAUAGUAUUAAUAUACUUUUAAGGCAUCGUGGUGAGGACAAAGUUCAAAUCGUGGUGAGGACAAAGCUCAAUUCGUAUCGUGGUGAGGACAAAGUUCAAUUCGUGGUGAGGACAAAGCUCAAAUUGUAAUCAACAACAACUUAAACAUCGUACAUUUUCCACAUAAGCCAUAUAAAUAUUUCACAUAACCAACAACAGCAACAUAGGCAGCACAUAAAUAUCUCAAGACAUAACAACAUCAAAUGAUAAUCAACAACAACUUAAACAUCUUAUAUAAUUCACAUAAUGCAUAUACAAAUAUAUUACAUUACCAUCAACAUCAAAUCAUAUUCAUCAACAUAUACAUUCAUAUAAUAAAUCAUCAAUCAUGAACAACAUUAUGUCUAUAUCUUACAAUAUUCACAUAAUAUAUGUAUCUCAAAUUAUUCAACAAAGAUAUUCACGUCCGAGCAAAUUAGAUCCAUCACAACACAUGUUAAAUACUGUUAAACCCCUUAAUUAAACACCUAGUACUCCUAGUUUUGAGGUUUGGAAUUAUUCCAUAAGUUUUGGAUUAACUUAGAAACAGUUAUGAAAAUCAUUUUAAAGUCAAACCGGCGCCACUGGAAAGCUAACACAAUUAUCUACAACUUUCAUGUUUACACCAAAGGCUAAUUCAAAAGAGAAACGUGUGAAAAAGACGCAAGAACAUGAAACAAGACAUGCUGUCAGAUAGCAACUCGGGAAAAAACCAUUUUUCACCCCAAAAUCCCAAUUUUAACUUCCCUAUGCCCAAAUUUGAUCCCAAAGUUUAUCUAAACAUUUAUAUACAUCAAAAGAGACUCAAAAUCAUAUAAAACAUGACCCAAAAUAUUAUUUUAGAAAAUCAUCAAAUAAUCAACUUUAAUCCUAAUUUCCAAAUUCUCAAAACUAAAACUUACAACAUAUUAAAUCCAAUUUUCAGAAUCAAUGACUUAAGAUUAUUGAAUGUUAGUCUCACCCUUACCUUGGAUUGAUCGACGAAGGACUCUACCGCUUUCUCUUCUCUAAAAGGAUAUUAAACCGAAGAGGGAUUAUGGUCUUAAGAACACUUUUAAUUCCGAAGGGACAGAAAGGAGUAGAAAAAGAAGAAAGACUCGUCAACACAAGUCAAA